AAAUGGGAUUACUACUAGCCAUAUGUCAAUCUUCUGCUAAUCCUAGAGAUGGAAAUUAUACAUCCAGACUGCUGGGUACAGCAAGUUGUAUUUCACUUUGGAGAGAAAAAUCCAUGCAGACUCCAGGCCAUGGAUGCCCAGAAACUUAAUCAAGAUCCUAUCAAAGUGGUGUUGUAAAUGUACAUGAUCAAUGGGAUAUCCUGAAGGACUCAAUUACGGCUCAGAAAUACAGAGGUGACCUAACUCAAGGCCCAGUAGAAAUGGUUACUGCUAUUCCUAAUGAGUGCUCUGUUCUUCCCUGGAGCUCAAUGCAGUUCAGUUCAGUC
ensembl:lncRNA